rnacentral:rRNA from 2 species
GUCGAGCGAACAGAUGAGAAGCUUGCUUCUCUGAUGUUAGCGGCGGACGGGUGAGUAACACGUGGGUAACCUACCUAUAAGACUGGGAUAACUCCGGGAAACCGGGGCUAAUACCGGAUAAUAUUUUGAACCGCAUGGUUCAAUAGUGAAAGACGGUUUCGGCUGUCACUUAUAGAUGGACCCGCGCCGUAUUAGCUAGUUGGUAAGGUAACGGCUUACCAAGGCGACGAUACGUAGCCGACCUGAGAGGGUGAUCGGCCACACUGGAACUGAGACACGGUCCAGACUCCUACGGGAGGCAGCAGUAGGGAAUCUUCCGCAAUGGGCGAAAGCCUGACGGAGCAACGCCGCGUGAGUGAUGAAGGUCUUCGGAUCGUAAAACUCUGUUGUUAGGGAAGAACAAAUUUGUUAGUAACUGAACAAGUCUUGACGGUACCUAACCAGAAAGCCACGGCUAACUACGUGCCAGCAGCCGCGGUAAUACGUAGGUGGCAAGCGUUAUCCGGAAUUAUUGGGCGUAAAGCGCGCGUAGGCGGUUUCUUAAGUCUGAUGUGAAAGCCCACGGCUCAACCGUGGAGGGUCAUUGGAAACUGGGAAACUUGAGUGCAGAAGAGGAGAGUGGAAUUCCAUGUGUAGCGGUGAAAUGCGCAGAGAUAUGGAGGAACACCAGUGGCGAAGGCGGCUCUCUGGUCUGUAACUGACGCUGAUGUGCGAAAGCGUGGGGAUCAAACAGGAUUAGAUACCCUGGUAGUCCACGCCGUAAACGAUGAGUGCUAAGUGUUAGGGGGUUUCCGCCCCUUAGUGCUGCAGCUAACGCAUUAAGCACUCCGCCUGGGGAGUACGACCGCAAGGUUGAAACUCAAAGGAAUUGACGGGGACCCGCACAAGCGGUGGAGCAUGUGGUUUAAUUCGAAGCAACGCGAAGAACCUUACCAAAUCUUGACAUCCUUUGACCGCUCUAGAGAUAGAGUCUUCCCCUUCGGGGGACAAAGUGACAGGUGGUGCAUGGUUGUCGUCAGCUCGUGUCGUGAGAUGUUGGGUUAAGUCCCGCAACGAGCGCAACCCUUAAGCUUAGUUGCCAUCAUUAAGUUGGGCACUCUAGGUUGACUGCCGGUGACAAACCGGAGGAAGGUGGGGAUGACGUCAAAUCAUCAUGCCCCUUAUGAUUUGGGCUACACACGUGCUACAAUGGAUAAUACAAAGGGCAGCGAAUCCGCGAGGCCAAGCAAAUCCCAUAAAAUUAUUCUCAGUUCGGAUUGUAGUCUGCAACUCGACUACAUGAAGCUGGAAUCGCUAGUAAUCGUAGAUCAGCAUGCUACGGUGAAUACGUUCCCGGGUCUUGUACACACCGCCCGUCACACCACGAGAGUUUGUAACACCCGAAGCCGGUGGAGU